rnacentral:rRNA from 1 species
AAAAACAUAGCCCWMAGUUAUGAUGUAGGGUAAUACCUGCUCAUGAGUAUACUUUAAUUGCCGCGGUACCUUGACCGUGCUAAGGUAGCAUAAUAAAUUGUCUUUUAAAUGAAGUCUAGAAUGAAUGGAAAAACGGGAUUAAGCUGUCUCAAUCUCUUAUUUAGAAUUUACUAACAAGGUGAAAAGGCCUUGAAUAGAUAAAAGACGAGAAGACCCUUGGAGUUUUAUUAAUAUUUUGUUGGGGCGACGAGGAAUGAAUUAACAUUCCUGGCAUUUAUGAGACGGAUUUUUCUGAACAGAUAAACUACCCGAGGGAUAACAGCAUUAUCUUUUUAGGUUUGUGACCUCGAUGUUGGACUAGGAAGCCUAUAGGCUAGCCGCUUAUAAGGGGGGUUCUGUUCGAACUUUUACUCCUACGUGAUC